rnacentral:rRNA from 1 species
GUCGGUAAGGUGAUAUGAACCGUUAUAACCGGCGAUUUCCGAAUGGGGAAACCCAGUGUGUUUCGACACACUAUCAUUAACUGAAUCCAUAGGUUAAUGAGGCGAACCGGGGGAACUGAAACAUCUAAGUACCCCGAGGAAAAGAAAUCAACCGAGAUUCCCCCAGUAGCGGCGAGCGAACGGGGAGCAGCCCAGAGCCUGAAUCAGUAUGUGUGUUAGUGGAAGCGUCUGGAAAGGCGCGCGAUACAGGGUGACAGCCCCGUACACAAAAAUGCACAUGCUGUGAGCUCGAUGAGUAGGGCGGGACACGUGGUAUCCUGUCUGAAUAUGGGGGGACCAUCCUCCAAGGCUAAAUACUCCUGACUGACCGAUAGUGAACCAGUACCGUGAGGGAAAGGCGAAAAGAACCCCGGCGAGGGGAGUGAAAAAGAACCUGAAACCGUGUACGUACAAGCAGUGGGAGCACGCUUAGGCGUGUGACUGCGUACCUUUUGUAUAAUGGGUCAGCGACUUAUAUUCUGUAGCAAGGUUAACCGAAUAGGGGAGCCGAAGGGAAACCGAGUCUUAACUGGGCGUUAAGUUGCAGGGUAUAGACCCGAAACCCGGUGAUCUAGCCAUGGGCAGGUUGAAGGUUGGGUAACACUAACUGGAGGACCGAACCGACUAAUGUUGAAAAAUUAGCGGAUGACUUGUGGCUGGGGGUGAAAGGCCAAUCAAACCGGGAGAUAGCUGGUUCUCCCCGAAAGCUAUUUAGGUAGCGCCUCGUGAAUUCAUCUCCGGGGGUAGAGCACUGUUUCGGCAAGGGGGUCAUCCCGACUUACCAACCCGAUGCAAACUGCGAAUACCGGAGAAUGUUAUCACGGGAGACACACGGCGGGUGCUAACGUCCGUCGUGAAGAGGGAAACAACCCAGACCGCCAGCUAAGGUCCCAAAGUCAUGGUUAAGUGGGAAACGAUGUGGGAAGGCCCAGACAGCCAGGAUGUUGGCUUAGAAGCAGCCAUCAUUUAAAGAAAGCGUAAUAGCUCACUGGUCGAGUCGGCCUGCGCGGAAGAUGUAACGGGGCUAAACCAUGCACCGAAGCUGCGGCAGCGACGCUGAUGCGUUGUUGGGUAGGGGAGCGUUCUGUAAGCCUGCGAAGGUGUGCUGUGAGGCAUGCUGGAGGUAUCAGAAGUGCGAAUGCUGACAUAAGUAACGAUAAAGCGGGUGAAAAGCCCGCUCGCCGGAAGACCAAGGGUUCCUGUCCAACGUUAAUCGGGGCAGGGUGAGUCGACCCCUAAGGCGAGGCCGAAAGGCGUAGUCGAUGGGAAACAGGUUAAUAUUCCUGUACUUGGUGUUACUGCGAAGGGGGGACGGAGAAGGCUAUGUUGGCCGGGCGACGGUUGUCCCGGUUUAAGCGUGUAGGCUGGUUUUCCAGGCAAAUCCGGAAAAUCAAGGCUGAGGCGUGAUGACGAGGCACU